rnacentral:tRNA from 1 species
GCAGUCGUGGCCGAGUGGUGAAAGCGAUGGACCAGACAACCAUGGGGGUCUCCCCGCACAGCUUCGCAUCCUGCCGACUGCG